rnacentral:lncRNA from 1 species
UUCGACUGCUUGUCAAAGUCCUUUUUGCCCCAGCCGGUAGGUCUCUAGACGUUACAGAGAACCCCGAACAACCCAAACUGUUAAUCUUCAAUACCGCUUUGUACUUACGAUCUUGUAUCCACUGACUGUCUUGUUAGAUUAACCCAAUAAAUUUCAUUCACUCCGCAUACUCAAUCCUAUAGACACCCUUUUAAUUCUUCAAUCACAGACGUAAUUCGAUUUCACAAAACAGUCAAGAGUAAUCAAACCCACUUCAUUAAAAAAUCUCGAUUCACCAUUACAACACUGACUUCAGCAACGAUUGCCUCAGUCUUCCCAAAACUCUAUGAAGAAGAAAAAUCCAAUUCUCUGUCUUUUCUUCCCCGACCCGAAGCAUGAAGCUCCUCUCCAAUCC